CAACAGUCGCUCGGUUUGAGCUCAAAUAAAUGCAGGGAUGCCUCGGCUGGGAGCAGUCCGCCGCCUCCCUCCGAGCGCAGGACGCUCCGACGCCCGCUUGCCCGCAGGCCACCGCAGGAACCCCACGGGUGCAGAACCGUGCCACUGCACCCAUAAGACAGCCCCGAGGCUCCCUGCAGACCCUGUAAGUUCCAGUUGGGAACAUUCCGGAACCCUUUUCCAGAGAGAGUUGCGCAGAUAGCUGAUCGCGUGUGUGUUUUCAAAGCCAAGCAAGGGAAACAGCAG
rnacentral:lncRNA from 1 species